rnacentral:rRNA from 1 species
UACGGAGGAUCCAAGCGUUAUCCGGAAUCAUUGGGUUUAAAGGGUCCGUAGGCGGGCUAAUAAGUCAGAGGUGAAAGUUUGCGGCUCAACCGUAAAAUUGCCUUUGAUACUGUUAGUCUUGAAUUACUAUGAAGUGGUUAGAAUGUGUAGUGUAGCGGUGAAAUGCAUAGAUAUUACACAGAAUACCGAUUGCGAAGGCAGAUCACUAAUAGUAUAUUGACGCUGAUGGACGAAAGCGUGGGGAGCGAACAGG